rnacentral:rRNA from 1 species
CGGACGGGUGAGUAAUGUCUGGGAAACUGCCCGAUGGAGGGGGAUAACUACUGGAAACGGUAGCCAAUACCGCAUAACGUCGCAAGACCAAAGAGGGGGACCUUCGGGCCUCUUGCCAUCGGAUGUGCCCAGAUGGGAUUAGCUAGUAGGUGGGGUAACGGCUCACCUAGGCGACGAUCCCUAGCUGGUCUGAGAGGAUGACCAGCCACACUGGGACUGAGACACGGCCCAG